rnacentral:rRNA from 1 species
CAGUAGCCGCGGUAAUACGAAGGGUGCAAGCGUUAAUCGGAAUUACAGGGCGUAAAGCGUGCGUAGGCGGUUUGUUAAGUCUAUUGUGAAAUCCCCGGGCUCAACCUGGGAAUGGCAAUGGAUACUGGCAAGCUAGAGUGUGUCAGAGGAUGGUGGAAUUCCCAGUGUAGCGGUGAAAUGCGUAGAGAUCGGGAGGAACAUCAGUGGCGAAGGCGGCCAUCUGGGACAACACUGACGCUGAGGCACGAAAGCGUGGGGAGCAAACAGGAUUAGAUACCCCAGUAGUCCCUGUCUCUUAUAC